rnacentral:rRNA from 1 species
AAUCAACGCUGGCGGCGUGCCUCAGACAUGCAAGUCGAACGAUUAAAGCUCUCUUCGGAGAGUGCAUAAAGUGGCGCACGGGUGAGUAACACGUAAGUAAUCUACCUUCGAGUGAGGAAUAACGUCCGGAAACGGACGCUAAUACCGCAUAAUGCAGCGGCACCUAAUGGUGACAGUUGUUAAAGAAUUUAUUCGCUUGAAGAGGAGCUUGCGGCAGAUUAGCUAGUUGGUAAGGUAAUGGCUUACCAAGGCUUCGAUCUGUAACCGGUCUAAGAGGACGGUCGGUCACACUGACACUGAAUAACGGGUCAGACUCCUACGGGAGGCAGCAGUCGGGAAUUUUGGGCAAUGGGCGAAAGCCUGACCCAGCAACGCCGCGUGAAGGAUGAAGGCCUUAGGGUUGUAAAGAUCUUUCAGUGGGGAAGAUAAUGACUGUACCCACAGAAGAAGCCCCGGCUAACUCCGUGCCAGCCGCCGCUGUAA